AUGUGGAGAACAGUGGGGUGUGUUUUGGGCACUGAUUGUUGCCCUGACAACCUGUGGCAAUACUUUGCUUGGUGUCAUGGUUACCUCCCUAAUGGUGAGAGGUUUUAUACGUUUGGCCUAGCUGCGUUAUGUUGGGCGAUGUGGAAUUGUCGUAACAAAAGAAUCUUCGAAUUCAAAGAAUUGAAGUCUCCUUUUGAUGUGAUAUAUUCUGCUUGUGGAUACAUAUCUUAUUGGGCAGGGUUGCUGUCUGGUGAAGAUCGGGAGGCGAUGGAGUGUGGAUCGAAGAUGCUGAGGAUCAGUGCCGCGAAUAUGAUGAGGAUUUGUGCAGCUCCGAGAGAUGCAACAUGA
rnacentral:rRNA from 1 species